rnacentral:rRNA from 1 species
AAAGGAAUAGACGGGGGCCCGCACAAGCAGUGGAGUAUGUGGUUUAAUUCGAAGCAACGCGAAGAACCUUACCAGGUCUUGACAUCGUAUGCAUAUCUAAGAGAUUAGAGAAAUCCCUUCGGGGACAUAUAGACAGGUGGUGCAUGGUUGUCGUCAGCUCGUGUCGUGAGAUGUUGGGUUAAGUCCCGCAACGAGCGCAACCCUUACCAUUAGUUGCUACGUAAGAGCACUCUAAUGGGACUGCCGUUGACAAAACGGAGGAAGGUGGGGAUGACGUCAAAUCAUCAUGCCCCUUAUGACCUGGGCUACACACGUACUACAAUGGCAAUUAACAGAGGGACGCAAUACAGUGAUGUGGAGCAAAUCCCCAAAAAUUGCCUCAGUUCGGAUUGCAGGCUGAAACUCGCCUGCAUGAAGUCGGAAUUGCUAGUAAUCGCAGAUCAGAAUGCUGCGGUGAAUACGUUCCCGGGCCUUGUACACACCGCCCGU